AUAAACCCUCUUGGAUACUGACAACAAGAAUACUGGAAGCCAAACCUUCAAGUGCACUGAGGAAGCGAGGAGAAACUCUCCCAGAUCAACUCCUGUGAAGAUGGUGAACUUCCCAGGCUUCCCUCCAGCUCAUGUUCUCACCCGUUUUCUCCUUCUCCUGGCAGCCACAUGCUGCAAGGCAGAGCCCUUGCUCCCUAGGAUGUCUCCACGUGAAGUUGCC